rnacentral:rRNA from 1 species
UACGAAGGGAGCUAGCGUUGUUCGGAAUCACUGGGCGUAAAGCGCACGUAGGCGGAUGUGUCAGUCAGGGGUGAAAUCCCGGAGCUCAACUUCGGAACUGCCUUUGAUACAGCACGUCUUGAGUCCGGAAGAGGUGGGUGGAAUUCCUAGUGUAGAGGUGAAAUUCGUAGAUAUUGGGAAGAACACCGAUGGCGAAGGCAGCCAUCUGGACCGACACUGACGCUGAGGCGCGAAAGCGUGGGGAGCAAACAGG